GGGGGAAACCCUGAUCCAGCGACGCCGCGUGAGUGAAGAAGUAUUUCGGUAUGUAAAGCUCUAUCAGCAGGGAAGAAAAUGACGGUACCUGACUAAGAAGCCCCGGCUAACUACGUGCCAGCAGCCGCGGUAAUACGUAGGGGGCAAGCGUUAUCCGGAUUUACUGGGUGUAAAGGGAGCGUAGACGGCACUGCAAGUCUGGAGUGAAAGCCCGGGGCUCAACCCCGGGACUGCUUUGGAAACUGUGGUGCUAGAGUGCAGGAGAGGUAAGUGGAAUUCCUAGUGUAGCGGUGAAAUGCGUAGAUAUUGGGAGGAACACCAGUGGCGAAGGCGGCUUUCUGGACUGUAACUGACACUGAGGCAUGAAAGCGUGGGGAGCAAACAGGAUUAGAUACCCUGGUAGUCCACGCCGUAAACGAUGAGUGCUAGGUGUAGAGGGUAUCGACCCCUUCUGUGCCGCAGUUAACACCCUAAGCACUCCGCCUGGGGAGU
rnacentral:rRNA from 1 species